rnacentral:rRNA from 1 species
AGCGUAGACGGCAAGGCAAGUCUGAUGUGAAAACCCAGGGCCUAACCCUGGGACUGCAUUGGAAACUGUCUGGCUCGAGUGCCGGAGAGGUAAGCGGAAUUCCUAGUGUAGCGGUGAAAUGCGUAGAUAUUAGGAAGAACACCAGUGGCGAAGGCGGCUUACUGGACGGUAACUGACGUUGAGGCUCGAAAGCGUGGGGAGGCAAAACA